GCCGGAGUGGUGAAAUGGUAGACACAGCAGACUCAAAAUCUGCCGCAGGCAACUGCAUGCCGGUUCGAGUCCGGCCUCCGGUACCA
rnacentral:tRNA from 1 species